rnacentral:sRNA from 1 species
GCACUGUGGUCUCCACUGCCUGAGGAAACAAGCAGUAAAACAAAGUUUAAAAAGGACCUUGUCUCCUACAGUUUCAAAUAGCCGUCUAGUAAGAUGGCUUUAUUGUGAUGUUUAAUAGCUGAAACCUUUGGACUUCAAGAAAAUUAUAUCAAAAUUGUCAUAAAUAAGAAGCAACUACAACUAGGGAAAACCCUUGAAGAACAAGGCGUGGCUCACAAUGUGAAAGUGAUGGUGCUUGAACUAAAACAGUCUGAAGAGGAUGUGAGGAAAAACUUCCAGUUAGAGGAAGAGGAACAAAAUGAGGCCGAACUCAAAGAAAAACAAAUUCAGAGGACCAAGAGAGGACUAGAAAUACUGGCAAAGAGAGCAGCUGAGACGGUGGUGGAUCCAGAAAUGACACCGUACUUAGACAUAGCUAACCAGACAGGCAGAUCAAUCAGAAUUCCCCCAUCAGAAAGAAAAGCCCUUAUGUUAGCUAUGGGAUAUCAUGAGAAGGGCAGAGCUUUCCUGAAAAGAAAAGAAUAUGGAAUAGCCUUGCCAUGUCUGUUGGACGCUGACAAAUAUUU